rnacentral:rRNA from 1 species
GGGGAAUUUUGCGCAAUGGGGGAAACCCUGAUCCAGCCACGCCGCGUGAGUGAUGAAGGCCUUCGGGUCGUAAAGCUCUGUGGGGAGGGACGAACCGCCGGAUGUGCAUAGCAUCCGGCAUGACGGUACCUCCUUAGCAAGCACCGGCUCACUUCGUGCCAGCAGCCGCGGUAAUACGAAGGGUGCAAACGUUGCUCGGAAUUAUUGGGCGUAAAGCGCACGUAGGCGGCUUUGCAAGUCCCAUGUGAAAUCCCACGGCUUAACCGUGGAAGUGCAUGGGAAACUGCAGAGCUUGAGUACUUAAGAGGAUCGCGGAAUUCCCGGUGUAGAGGUGAAAUUCGUAGAUAUCGGGAGGAACACCAGUGGCGAAGGCGGCGAUCUGGGAAGAUACUGACGCUGAGGUGCGAAAGCGUGGGGAGCAAAC